UUUUUUUAGAAGAUUUUUUUUUUUUUUUUUUUUUAGUUAUGUUUCGGGUGACCUGACUUCGGGAGGUCGUAACACCAUCCGAAUUUGGGAAUUUGGAAAAACUCAUAAAAUGAAAGUUGUAGAUAAUUGAAAUACCUUUCCAACCAUAUAUUAUGGGCUUAUAAGUGACAUCUGGAUAAAGAGUUAUGGACGUUUUAAUGCAGAAAGGUCAAGCUGGACAGCAAAAUUCGGCCCAACCCGAUUCCAAGUCGGGUCAGGCCCAACCCCUUAGCCCAUUAAGGGAUAUUUUCAGCUCCCUUCUUCAUUUCCAGACCAAGAAUUUCCAGAACCUCCUAGAUAAAGAGAGAGAAGAGAGUAGAGAGAAAAAAACCAAGAUUUGAUCAAAAUCUGAGCUCCGAAUCCCAAAGCUCGUGAAGAGAAAAGUGUAGUACGAGUUUUCAUCGCCAUUUUAAGCUAAAUAUUGACCUUGGGGAAGGAGAUUUUCGUGGUUGAGCUACUGCUAAGGUAUAUAUGCUCUUGUACAAGCUAAGAGGAAUUAUUUGACGAAGUGGACUUUGAUUGGUCUAUGGCGUAGAUGAUUUGUACUCCUCGAGUUGUGGUAGAACUUGUUGUGUGGUAAAACGCCAAGGUAAUGCGCGAGAUGAGGUAUGAAGAUGACCAUUUGGAGUAGACUUUUUGGGAGCCCUUGUGAAGAUCACAUCUGCAUAUGCAUCUAGUUUUUGUAAAUUUUUGGGGACUUGUACAUGAUACACGUGUGGCACUUACGUAUGAAAUUUUGAAGGCUUGUGGAAAACAAGACCAUGUGCUUGUAACUUAAACUUGAUGACUGGUUUUGCUAUUUUAGGGUGUGUUUUUAACCCAAGUCAUGCCAUAUACUGAAUUUGUAUUUUGUCUUGUAAUUAUGUAGAAAGGAUGAUAAUAGUUUUGUGAAAAUGACUAGUUUGAGUUUUGUGCAUAUUAUAGACCCGUAAUGGUGUUGAUUUGGAAAUAAAAUUUCAAAACGAAGCUUCUUAAAUGUGUUGACUAUUUGAGAAGGGAAUUACCAUUUUAAAAUGAUACUCUGCUAUUGUAUUUCAUCUAAGAAAUUUUUCGGAGAGCGCAAUGAAAAAUAAAAAAAUAAAAAAUAAAAAAAUAAUAAUAAAAAAAUGUCGUACUUUCAAAUAUUUCCG